UGUUAAAAAUUUCAUCCAUUUUUACGGUUCAAAACCGGUCACUGAACGUUAGAAUAACAAUACAAUUACACGUAGGUGUGCCAUGUGUAACUCAUUCGGAUGUACAGGGAUCAGUUUUUAAUAGUAGAAAUGGAUAAAAUUUUUGCUC
rfam:Gossypium raimondii Chr10_contig_1424, whole genome shotgun sequence.